UACGGGGGGGGCAAGCGUUGUUCGGAAUUACUGGGCGUAAAGGGCUCGUAGGCGGCCAACUAAGUCAGACGUGAAAUCCCUCGGCUUAAACCGGGGAACUGCGUCUGAUACUGGAUGGCUUGAGAUUGGGAGAGGGAUGCGGAAUUCCAGGUGUAGCGGUGAAAUGCGUAGAUAUCUGGAGGAACACCGGUGGCGAAGGCGGCAUCCUGGACCAACACUGACGCUCAGGCACGAAAGCGUGGGGAGCAAACAGG
rnacentral:rRNA from 1 species